CAACCGUCCAACCGGCCGAGUCGCUGCUUUUUUCAACCUCUGGUUUUCUGGACUGGUGAAAAGCGCUUAUCCAGAUGGCGGACGGUUCCUUUCUUGGUUCCAUGUAUAAACCCGCGCGGUCCCGAGCAAGAAAGAAAGCGAAGGAAAAACAGAAGGAAAAGCUAAGCAAAGCAAAGAAGCGCGCUUGCCACUAGAGUCCGUAGCAACGGAGUCCUCCCCUUCCUUCUCUCGGUCCUCUUCUUCUGCUUCUCCCAUUAUCAAUCUCGACCAGCAACCGAGGCUCACCUUCACGCAGCCGGAGCAGCUCGAGGUGGAGGAGAAGGUAGCCGAGAUCUACCGCGUUCUCAAUGGCGUCUCCCCCCCACGCUCAAUCGCUCAUGCAAGUUCUCCUUAUCAUCAUUAGGGGUUUGUUUUGAAGGUCAGAGCUAUGACGUGAUAAGCAUGUUGAAUUUCUCACAAGAGGACUCGAGCAACUUGGACCGAGCUUUCACGUGCUAGAUGCUGAGUAAGAUCGGAUUUCAUUGGUACUCUCUUUCCUAAACAAAUCCUUUUUGAUAUCCAUGUUCUCAUUUAAAUUCCAUUUAUAGCUGGAGUUUUUUUAUUGUCCAAUGUGGGUUGAUUUCUUGAGUGCAGCCGACCUUGGCUAUGCUACUGGAUUCUUUUUCCUUUUUUUUGCUGAAGUGCUACUGGAUUCUUCACUCAUUUGUUUUGUUAGGAGAACCACUCGACCCUGAACUGGAGAACAAUGUGGUCGAUUUUUUAUCCCAUUGUGAGGUCUAUAGUUUUACUCAAAACUUUCCUUAUUGGUACAUAUAAUUGGAUUAGGUUGAUAUUUAUUUUCUUGACUAAUUUAUAUGUUAUGUUGGCUUUGAUCAUAAUGUUCUCGAAAAUGUUAUUAGCAAAAUGGAUACUUUGAUUCCUUUAGUUAAAUUUAGGAUAAAGUAUAAGUUUAUCGCUAUUCUAUAUAGAGAUUACAAGAAAAUCUUUUAAAAAAAUCAUGUUUUUAAAGGAGGAAAGGCCAAUUUUAUGCUAAUUAUUUGUGAUAAGUGAUGACAACAUAUACUUUUCAAAUUGCUCCCUGUUGGGAAGAUUACAUUUUUCACCUCAAGCAUUGGUGAUAUAUUCUUUUGAGAUAAUUUAUAUAAAUCAUUUCUAUACAAGAUGUAGAAUAAGUGGAUUUUGAUUUGAUUAUUAGGACCAAGGUGCUAGCAAGAGUUUAUUAACUUUAGUAAAAGAUUUUGUUUUAUCUUCAUAAUAUUGUUAUUGGAAAAGGACAGGAUUCAUUGAAGAUUCUCUUCAUCCACUGAAAAUAAUUUUAUGGAGAAUAAAAAUGUUUUAAUGCACAUUACUAUCUUUAAUGAGCGAAGUAAUCCUUGACUCGAGUAUUUCUUCUUGAAUGGUCUAGAAGAAGGAUUAGAGAUUCAUGAAGCUGAUGGAUGCGAGACUUUGAAAAGAACAAAAUCUUAAAGCAAGCUCUGUUCUCUGUUCUCUGGAACACUGGCUUGCUUAUUCAUAUGCAGAAUUGCACCCUUUUUUUUUCCAUUUGUUUUUCCUAUGUUUCCUGCACCUGCUUGAUUUAAGGAAAGUUUUUUUUUUUUUUUUUGUCUUUGUUCUCCUACUCCAUGUCAUCUAAUUCUUGCUACCAUGCUGAUAAGAGGAUGCCAAUUUUAUUAUUUAAUAUCUAUUGGAUGUGGAUUGAUGAUAAUGAAUUUUAUGUAGGAGCUGAGUCAAUUUAUAUUGGCUAUUGAUAUAAUGUAUAAUGCUUCCAGUUUAAAAAUCAUAUUUGCAAAUAGCUAAAGUCAUCUUUCAGAUGAUUUCUUUCUAUUUUUUCUUAUGACUCUUUUUUCAUGCUUUUCUUAUGUAUGAUUUACUGGUAUUAAUGAACAGAAAUUGCUGCAUUUGAAAUCUUACAGGACAAAGAUGGUGGAUAUGGUGGUGGCAGAUAUGUAAUCACUAUUAAGUCAACCACAAAGGCUUCCUGAUACUUUCACCGCCCCAUCCUUCCCAACUCUCAAUUCAAUCUAGCUGCUGGAAAUGCAUAAAACUGAGCCCAGACACGUGAAUCAUUGUUUACUGCCGCAUACGAUCUCAGUGAGAUUUUAUAGUUAAUUUUCAUCCUUUCCAACCAUAACUUAAUUUUUACGUAGAGCUUCCCAGGAUGGUACCGAAACCUUUUACCUAUCAAUCUUAGAUGGUACCACCUCUUUUGAGCUUCGCAUCCUUACCAUCAAUUUUGCCCGUAUCAUCCAUGAGCUUUCUGGCGAACCUCUCUAAUGUUCUCUGGAUGGAGCACAACACUAUUUACUGGAUUAAUAGCAAGCCCUAAAUGCAGUCCGAACACAAUUCAGGGUGCGUAGACCAGAACACAAUCAUGCUAUAUACUAAGGCUUCCAUAAACCAUAUGAUUUCAACUUGAUUGCUGGCUGAUACAUACCUGCCAGAAACCACAAUGUUUCAUCCGGUCAGAAGAGCACUGCUAAAACCAAGACGCUUGAUCAAUUAAAACUCAAUCGAUGGCAGUCCUUAAAUCAUUUUUUAUUUUUCAUUCUGCGCAAGGUCAGGUCAAAACUUAAAACGAGGAACACCAUGUUGAUAUGCUACCCAUUAACAUCUUAACAUAUUCCUUCUGGGUCUACAAUAUAUGAGGUGGUAAACCAUCUGCGGUGAACAAACCAUACAUGAACCGUCAUCGGUUCUCAGAUUACAAAA